rnacentral:rRNA from 1 species
UACGUAGGGGGCAAGCGUUGUCCGGAAUCAUUGGGCGUAAAGAGCGUGUAGGCGGCUCGGUAAGUCAGGUGUGAAAUCUCCACGCUCAACGUGGAGGCGCCACCUGAAACUGCCGUGACUCGAGUCCGGUAGGGGAGUGUGGAAUUCCUGGUGUAGCGGUGAAAUGCGCAGAUAUCAGGAGGAACACCAGUGGCGAAGGCGGCACUCUGGGCCGGUACUGACGCUGAGGAGCGAAAGCGUGGGGAGCGAACAGG